rnacentral:rRNA from 1 species
UACGAAGGGGGCUAGCGUUGCUCGGAAUUACUGGGCGUAAAGGGCGCGUAGGCGGCCCGCUAAGUCGAACGUGAAAUCCCCGGGCUCAACCCGGGAACUGCGUCCGAUACUGGCAGGCUUGAAUCCGGGAGAGGGAUGUGGAAUUCCAGGUGUAGCGGUGAAAUGCGUAGAUAUCUGGAGGAACACCGGUGGCGAAGGCGGCAUCCUGGACCGGUAUUGACGCUGAGGCGCGAAAGCCAGGGGAGCAAACAGG